UACGUAGGGUGCAAGCGUUUGUCCGGAAUUAUUGGGCGUAAAGAGCUCGUAGGCGGUCUGUCGCGUCUGCUGUGAAAACUCAGGGCUUAACCCUGAGCUUGCAGUGGGUACGGGCAGACUAGAGUGCGGUAGGGGAGACUGGAAUUCCUGGUGUAGCGGUGAAAUGCGCAGAUAUCAGGAGGAACACCGAUGGCGAAGGCAGGUCUCUGGGCCGAUACUGACGCU
rnacentral:rRNA from 1 species